rnacentral:tRNA from 1 species
UAAGAAUUUAGUUAAAAUUAUAACAUAAAAAUGUCAUUUUUAAAUUAUUUAAAUUAAAUAAUUCUUAUAAAUUA